GAGAAAAGGAGGUGGUGAGUGUCCAAGACCUGAGGAGAGCCAGAGAUGCUAAGCACCAAGGAGUUCAGCAUGAAGGAGCGACUAGAACAGAUCCCCUCUGAAGCAGCUGGGGGCUCAUCUGAGAAACUUCUCAUCCUUGAGGAGUGGUCAGCUAGGAGAGGAAGAAGGGAUGGUGUGGAGCCCACCCAUGGCCUAAGGAGCCAGUGUAGUCCACAGCCUGUGGGACCAGGAGCCUCCAGGUGGGCGACUCAAGAAGAAUCGAUGCUUCAGCCCCCAGCGACAUGUACACGGUGUAAUGACAGGUAAUGAACCUGAAACUCGUCUAUCCUUUAUGAAUGAUGUGGCAGGUAGGAGAAUAUAUCAGCUUGCAGUAGACAUAACAUGUCAACCCUUGGGAAGAUAACUAUGCAAACAAAGCACAGAAAGGCCUGAUAAGAUGAUAGAUGGACGCUUUAUAGUUAUUAGUUUUUGCCCAUGUGCUUGCUGGAGCCAAGCACCGGAAGAUUUAGCAUCAGCUGGGUUCACUCCUAGGCCUGGUGGGAAGGCUGAUACCUUUAUGGAUGUAGCCCUCUUAUUUUAGGAACUCAAGUAACAAAUCAAGAAGUUGUUAUUUCCAUCAGCUCCUAUGGGAGGCAGGGGAGCUGACACCAGUGGGGAAACAAAGGCAGCAGAGGGUCAAGUGGUUCUUUCUUGCAUCUGUGAUGCAGGAGGGGUGGGACUGGAGACUCAGAGGCCUCUAGGUUCGGUUCUCAUAACUUGAAUGACAGAGUGAUAAUGGGAUGGUAUUUUUCAUGAAAAAAGGAAAAGAAGGCUUGUGAUUCCCUCAUCGUUUCAUAGGUGUCAGGGCAAGUGGCAGAUAAUUGAAGGUGGCUAAGGAGAUCAUGAAUAGGGGUCUAGAGAGGAUAUGGGGGUUCUGGGUGAUGUCUCGGAUCCAGAAGUUGGUCUAGGGACUUAGCCAAGGCAGGAAGCAUUGGGCAGGACCCCUAGAUCCCAGAAGCAGGGCCUUGAGACUAGAAAGAUAGGGGACCAGCAGGUCUGGAGACCCUAAAGUGAGCUAAUCCCAUGGCAGAGCCUGUUCCUGCUGGUUGUCUGGUCUUUUGCCCUGUGUGCCAAGCACAGUACCAUUCUGUCAGCUUCCACCAUAAGGGAAAUACAGGGUGAGAUGGAAGCAAAAAUAGCUUGGAGCCUGGAGAAACUGACCAGGGCAAGGGGAGAGGGCCAGUGGCUUGGAGCAGGAGGCCCAGGAGGGUGUGGCAAAUUCCAUUCCAGUGCAGGCCAGUGUCAGGGUCCCCAGGGUCAGAGCCAAGAGCCAGGGAGGGGGCAGAACGUUAGGACUUCUGGGUGGC
rnacentral:lncRNA from 1 species